GCAGAGCGAGAGAGUAUGAUAUAAGGAAGGUUGUUGAGAUGGAGAGAGUCAGGGGGCUAGGUCCUAAGAGGAGCCUCAAGAUGCUGAGAGUGGUACCUUACUGAUAGUCAGCAAGAAAAUGGGGACCUCUGUCCUACUACCUAAGGAACUGAAUUUGGACAAAACAUAAAUGAACUCUGGACCCAUUCUUCCCAAGAGCUACCAUAGUAGCUGGAACCUAGUCUAGGUGACAGCUUUGACUUCAGCUUUGUGAGACCCCACACAAAGAACCCAGGAGGACCGUGGAAAAAGACAAGCAGGUGAAGGCAGCUGCCUGGGCUUCUGGAACAAACACAGUGGAGUACGUACUACCGUGGCAAAUUUCAAGGCACAGAUGUGACAUCACAGAAUGCAAAGCUGGGAAGAGAUACGCACCAUUGUAUAGAGUCUCCAUCACAGAUGCAGUAGAUGCAAAUAAACUCAAGAACACAGAUGGUAAUAAAGUAUAGCAAAAUAAUUA